rnacentral:sRNA from 1 species
GCUGUGCGAGGUGGGGCACGCCUGUAAUCCCAGCAGCUAGGAGGCAGAGGUAGGAGGAUCACAAGUUCAAAGCCAGCCUCAGCAACUUAGUGAGGCCCUAAGAAAUUUAUUGAGACCCUCUCUCAG